GAGAACAGUUUGUUUGGAAACAGUUUUCUUCUAUUCACCUUAUUUUGCACGACAACAAGGGUGACGCCAUUGCGUUCGUUUUGUCAUCUUACUCCCGUCUGAGAAAGACUUCAACUUCCGGCUCAUGAGAGGGAUGAGAUUCUGCGCUAGUUGAAACGAACGGGCCUAAGGACGGGAAUCCGAUUGAGGAACACCCCAGAAAUGGCUCGGCUACGAUGUUCCGAUAAAGAAGUCACGCCGGGUGUUGAAUAUUGUCAGAUUCAGAUGCAUCAAUGAGAGUCAGUAAUGCAGUGGAUAACUAUGAGGAUGAUCACAUCCACAUGCCCCACAGCUGUGAUGCAGAAUCACAAUGGGAGGAUCAAUCUGUCUUUGGCCACAACCUGAUCUUCUCAGAGAGACUCUCCAGCGUCUUGAUGCUCUUUAGCGAAAGUAUGAGCAGCACAGACUAACGUUACAUGAAGAAUCUUACAACGCUUCGAAAAGAAUAAAAAAGGCACAUGACGUGAACAUUGCGGAAUCUGUAAGGCGCCUCCAUAAUUCAGAGAACAACCCACACAAAUACGUUCCACAAACCAGAAUAAAUUCAUCACAUAACCUGGCUGUGACCACUUACCUCUUCGAAGAAUUAAGGUCAACUUUUACAGACGUUGACCCUGAAUGUGUGAAA